rnacentral:rRNA from 1 species
UACAGAGGUCCCGAGCGUUGUUCGGAUUCAUUGGGCGUAAAGGGUGCGUAGGCGGCGCGGUAAGUCGGGUGUGAAAUCUCGGAGCUUAACUCCGAAACUGCAUUCGAUACUGCCGUGCUUGAGGACUGGAGAGGAGACUGGAAUUUACGGUGUAGCGGUGAAAUGCGUAGAUAUCGUAAGGAAGACCAGUGGCGAAGGCGGGUCUCUGGACAGUUCCUGACGCUGAGGCACGAAAGCUGGGGGAGCGAACGGG